UUCAUGUUCGAAUAGGCCUCUACACAAACUCUUUACUCACAAACACUCACUGAAACUCACAGAAUCCCCUUCCCUCUUGCUCUGCUUGGCUUCAUAUUUCUCCAUUACGCAGGCAGUAAUGAUGACUGACGGGUGCUACUGUCCCCUGGUGGAUAAAUAGAAAACUGCAGCGCUUUAACCUCAAGGCAGCUCUUUCCACAGACGACCUUGUUGUUUGUGAAUCUCGCCACGAGGAGGAGCACUAACACAACACAGACCACUCUUUCAAUAGACACAAGGCAGCAGAGGGAGGAGGGGCCUGAUGUGUUUCUGUGUGGCUGCAGGAGGGAGGAGUCACGCACCUGUGAAUCUACACCUGAGAACGAACCAAGCCGGAGAAUAGGCAGAAAAGAAGAGAUAGACAGAAACUCAUUGAAACCGGGCCUAUAGGGUGAUGACCUCACCUGCUGGACUCUACUGGACAGAGAACUGAACCAAAGGAUAGUGACCAGAUAACAACUAUCUCAACAGACGUACAUUCACCUG